UUAUUCUCCCACUAUGUAUCAUAUAAGUGGCGACUUUCAUUUUGCAAUUUCAGUAUCCACCGUUUCCUGUUUUAGAGUAGCUAAUGCUUCACCAUUCUGAAUAGAAAGGUACGAUAAAUCCUAGUGAAGUAUCUCUAAUCGCUAAUUUAUUUUUAGAGAAGAAAUUAAUCCACCUUUAUUGUUUAUCAGUGUUGGGACUAAGCUGCUGUUUCCUCUGUGUCAUCUGUUUUAUCGAAAUCCCUUUCGUAGACACAGAAUUCACGCUAGCAGCACUCGCUUACACCAAGUCCACCAUGUUAUAAAUAGAUCUAGUAUGCCCUGCUGCCGGUCGGUCGAGAUCUCCGACAUCUUUCAAGAAUUCGUUGAAAGUAAUGGCCAAUAUAUGGAAUUUCCCUCUCUAUGCACAUUCACUGUAGAAGGCCGAAAAGACUUAGUAACCAAAGCUCCUUAUGUCUCUCUUCAGGCAAUUCGAUAAAUUACGAACCUACGCUGAGAGAUAAAACCUAGAGAGAGAAAAAUGGUCUAACUCUAAAAUUCUAUAUACGGAAAAGGGUUUAAUAUAUCCUUCAAUUAUGAUCCAUAAAUACCUUUUUUCCACCUUUACGCUCAAAAAUACCCUUCCAUCUACCUAUUUGGCUCAAAAAUACCCUUCCACUUAACAGAUAAGUGAUUAGGCUUCUAACUUAACAUGUGGCAACUUAUUAUUGGUUAGAGAUUUAAUUAAUUAAUAAUUUAUUAUUAAUCAUAAAUAAAUGACCCAAUCAGAUCCCACUACCCCCAUCCAACUAAAUACCCGAUUCGACUAAAUAUCUAAUGAAAAACCCCGAUCAUAAUAUCAAAAGGGGGAAAACCCUUUACAACAUAUCAUCGAUCACUCUUUCUUCUUCCUUGAUCUUUUAUGAUUCUUUGAAAAUAAUUUCUUCUUCCAGUUGCCAAAUCUGCAAAUCUUCUUCUCAAGAAAUUGAAUCCCGUACAGUUUGCUGAGGAGUCAAAACAGUUUGCUAAGAGGGAAAAGCAACAAAUCAAGAAGCUUGAGAGUACUUUGAAAUUAUGCACUUGAUAGUGCCCCUGCACUUGCUAUUAAGUCCACUAUUGAGAAAACUAAAUGCAUGUUUAUUUGUUUUUUCCUUCUUUCUUCAAGUUUCUUUCAUUUUGUACACAUCGCUUUUUAUUUAUUCCUCCUGUAAUAUUUUAUUAUAGAAUUUUUUCAUAUGGUCAAUGAACUAAUAAUUUUUAUCUCAAAAAGUCACUCAAUUUGAUUUUGUAUCACAAGUUGUUAGUUAUCAAAUAAAUUUUGGAACUAAAGCUUAAUAAAAUAGAAGUGGAAAUGAAAGCAGUAAUUAAUUUAAGCACAUUGAAUACAUAAUGUAUCCUUAGGAAUAUAAUCCUCUUAUAAUUUGUAGUUAGAUAGAACUUAUGGGCUUCAAUUUGUGGUACCGAAAGUCCACAUAAAACAAAUACCGAGAUGAAGAAAAUUUUAUUGCUUUAAGCCCUGUGGAGAGAUUUAAGUGGGAUGAUUCUCUCAUAGUUUGUGCACUUUCAGCUGAUAGUUUGUGUUUUCUCUAUGAUGAUCAAUUUUAUCUCCACAUGAAUUUCAGACAUUCAAUGUUCUGUAGGAGUUCUUUGUUUGUUUUUCGGAGAAGGCCCUAAUAUACCCUUCAAGUAUGGGAAUGCAUAAAGUUUAAAUUUUAGUGAAUUUGGUGUGGAUGGGGCUGCGUGUUAUGUUGAAAAUGCUUAACGAUUAAGUUUAUAGUGAAUCUGUCCUUCAUCCUUAACUGCAAGCCUCGAAUUCGAGUUCCUUAAGUAUAGCGUCACCUUUCUUAGGAAGCGUUUUACGUCAAAUAUGUGAGGUGCAUAUUUGAAUUUAGUCGGGUUCCAAAUCAAAUUCCGAACACUAAAUGGGAAACCAUAAAAAGGUUUUAAGUGAAUUUGGUGGGGUGGGAGAAGUUUUUUUUCGGGGGGGGGGGGGGGGCGCUCUGUUAAAAUUCAAAGUUAUCAGAAGGUCGUGCAAUCAGUCAGAAUGUUGAGUGCACGUCUAGUUUGCAACUCAAGUUAGCAAGCAGAGUAAGUGAGCUUAACUUCUAUAUUUAGUCUUAGUCUGUUAGUGUAGGAGUAGCUAGUUUUCUUUAUGUUGAGCACAACCUGAUGUCCAAGCUUCAGCUUUCUUUUUGAUUCAUAUACAGUUUCUAUUCUAGAUAUACGUGCACUUAUUUUUGACUAAUUUACAAUGGACCUAAGAAUCUCUUAAUCAGAAGUUUUGUAGCCACGGCUGCUAAUUAUCCUGAUUAUGUUUACAUAAGUCCAACUCCGUAUACCAUAUUGCUGCUACUAAUGUCUAUUUGUGGAUUCAAUUUGGUUGUUAAGUUCUUUCAAAGAGUAGGAUUAUAUGGUUAAUUUUUAGUCAUGUUUUGCUAAAUUUGAAUAUUUAAUCAAUUUCAUGGCAUGAUUUUUUAUGUAUGUACCAAUAGUUCCUGCUUUGCACAUGCAUUAGUGCAUUAUAUCUUUUGCUACUAGCUAAUUAGUUCAGCUGGGAACUAUAGUUGUUCAAUGUCUUAAUUGGUGUUGUAAGCCUGCUUAUUACGGUAAUUCUGAAGUUGAUACCUGUUGAACACAGAAAUAUCAAGCAUCAUGAUGGUUAUGAUCUACUGCCAACUGGUCCAGAACUUGCCUAAGAGAAAGAGAGAGUCAAUGAACAAUAGAAGCCAC
rnacentral:lncRNA from 1 species